AGAGUUUGAUUCUGGCUCAGGAUGAACGCUGGCGGCGUGCUUAACACAUGCAAGUCGAACGAGGUCCAACCUUCGGGUGAAGACCGAGUGGCGAACGGGUGAGUAACACGUGGGGAACCUGCCCUUCUCUCUGGGAUAACCUCGGGAAACCGAAGCUAAUACCGGAUACUCCUUGCGGACCGCAUGGUCUGCUCGGGAAAGCUCCGGCGGAGAAGGAUGGCCCCGCGGCCCAUUAGCUUGUUGGUGGGGUAACGGCCCACCAAGGCGACGAUGGGUAGCCGAGCUGAGAGGCUGAUCGGCCACACUGGGACUGAGACACGGCCCAGACUCCUACGGGAGGCAGCGGUGGGGAAUCUUGCGCAAUGGGCGAAAGCCUGACGCAGCAACGCCGCGUGCGGGAUGAAGGCUCUCGGGUCGUAAACCGCUUUCAGCAGGGAUGAAAAUGACAGUACCUGCAGAAGAAGCCCCGGCUAAAUACGUGCCAGCAGCCGCGGUAAUACGUAUGGGGCAAGCGUUAUCCGGAUUCAUUGGGCGUAAAGCGCGCGUAGGCGGCUUGUUAAGUCAGGCGUGAAAUCCGGGGGCUCAACCCGUGGCUUGCGUCUGAAACUGGCAGGCUUGAGUCUGGUAGAGGAAAGUGGAAUUCCUGGUGUAGCGGUGAAAUGCGCAGAUAUCAGGAGGAACACCAGUGGCGAAAGCGGCUUUCUGGGCCACGACUGACGCUGAGGCGCGAAAGCUAGGGGAGCGAACAGGAUUAGAUACCCUGGUAGUC
rnacentral:rRNA from 1 species